rnacentral:rRNA from 1 species
CCUACGGGUGGCAGCAGUGGGGAAUAUUGGGCAAUGGAGGCAACUCUGACCCAGCAACGCCGCGUGAGCGAUGAAGGUCUUCGGAUUGUAAAGCUCUUUAAGCGGGGACGAAGAAAGUGACUGUACCCGCAGAAUAAGCCUCAGCUAACUACGUGCCAGCAGCCGCGGUAAUACGUAGGAGGCAAGCGUUAUCCGGAUUUACUGGGUGUAAAGGGAGCGUAGACGGCGAUGCAAGUCUGAAGUGAAAGGCGGGGGCCCAACCCCUGGACUGCUUUGGAAACUGUAUGGCUGGAGUGCAGGAGAGGUAAGUGGAAUUCCUAGUGUAGCGGUGAAAUGCGUAGAUAUUAGGAGGAACACCAGUGGCGAAGGCGGCUUACUGGACUGUAACUGACGUUGAGGCUCGAAAGCGUGGGGAGCAAACAGGAUUAGAUACCCGGGUAGUC